CUCAUUGAAUUCUCCAUUGUCUGGGUUGCAAUUUCUCGGGUGAACCACACUUGACCCGUCGCGGGUGCGUUGUGACGUUGGAGGAGACGGGGAGCAGUUGGCCGCGUCGUGCGUUGUGACGUUUGCGGGGCCGUGUCCUCGAAAACCCCUCGCCCAGUCCCCUUGCUCGCACGCCGCACCCCUCCCUCCCUCCUCGAUCUCUAUCCCUCCUCAGCCGCCACAGCAAGAAGCCACGAACCCUAGCCAUCUCCCUCUCGCGUGUUCGUGCUCAUCGCCGCCAUUCCUCCCGCUCCCCAUCGUUGCCCCGACGCCUCCACCGGCUAGGUACCAUGGAUCCAUGGCCGAUGGGAGAGUACGCCGUCGUCGAUCCAUCGCUUAGGUUGGUGGCGCAUGGGUCAGGUCUGGGCAGAAGGCCGGCGCCUGCGGGGGAAAAUGGCGGGGGUUGGUGCAGCGGAAAAUGAGGACGGGGUUGGCCGUAGAGGGAGGCUCGCCGGCCGGAACAGCCGGAGCAAGGAGGCAGUGUCGCCAUGGAGGGAGGCCCACUGGCCGGAGCAGCAGGAGCAACUGCAGCCGCUGGUCAGCCCGACGCACUGCCUCCUCUGCUGCGGCCCGCACGGUCGAGAGGGGCAGCUGCGCCGUAGCUGGCGGCGAGUUCAGCGGCCGCCGCCUCCUCUCCUCUUCGAAUCCACAGGUGCCUAUGCGUUGUUCCCCUCGGUUGGAUUGUUCAUCCUUCUUCGCCGGUGGUGUGCUCGUCCGUUGCAGUAGCCUUCGUGUGCUGGAUGAACACUGCCGGUUGAGGUUGGUGCCCUUCUUUACUUGAUUCUUGCUUCUUCCUUCCUUUUCCCUGCGCCCUGGUAACCUCUGUUCUUCCUCUUGUCCCCAUCGUGUGCAAGUUGGUUUCUACCCGUUGUGUCCUGCAUCGACAGUCGCAUCUUUCUGCCAUUGCCAUUGAGGUUAGUCUGCGCUCUGUUUGCUUGCAUGCAACAUGUUCGAUGAAAUGUGUGUGUGAUGACCUUUCUUUUCUUUCAUCUCGUUUUGCCUGCUGGUCCGCCUUGGUAUAGUCCUCUGUAUAGCAUGCUUUCUUGGCCUGGUUCUGCUUUCUAGCUCUGGUCUACCUCCGUUUGUCUAGCAGGUUCAACGAUCUGCUAGGUUGCUGCAUCUGCAACUCUGUGCUGCUGUUCAGGGUUUGCUUUAUUCUUUCUUCCCUACAUGCUUGUUCUUUCUCGCUACACACAUGCUUCUCUUUCUCUAAGUACCGUAAUACUGCUGUGCUGUCUCUAGCUACAUGCAUUUACCUUUCUUUGUCGGUCUAAUUGUCUAUUGAUGGGCCAUGGUUAUGUGAACUUUAAGAUGUAAUAAUAUAUGGUGUUUAAAUUUGUAUUGUUCAUUAGCGCCUAUGAUUUUGCGCUAAAGAGUCGUCCGAUAUCCAAGUUUUUAUAUAUUUUUACACCAUUGCAGUCCAUAACUUGCUUCAAUCCUGUUACACAUUGGAUUGAAGAUAGGUCGUCCAUUUUUAUUGACUUUUUUUGUACAUUGUGAAGUCAUGGCCCCAGUUUAUAUUCAUGUUUAGUUUGCUGUGUAGUUCAUGUAUGCUCUGUAAAGAGCAUGUACAGCUAAUGGGUUUAAUUCGUUUGUUCCUUUUUUAGAUGUUCCGUAUCGGUGCAUAAUUCAACUUGAUCCAUACAGUGCCAGUGAUUUUGUAAGAUUUGCCCAUAUCUUUUGAGGAAAUAAUUAUGCUUCAGGAAGAUGCUAAAUAAGCUGGUCAGCUCUGCCUCUGGGGCAAAAGGUCAGCAAAUCUGCUUGGUUGUUCUUCCCAAGGUGAUGAGUAAUUGCUUGUUGCAGAGUACAUGCCUAGAAAGACAUAUCUUCCACUGUGAGUAUGUUAACUGCUUGUGAGCUGGCCACUGUUAACUGCUUGUGAGCAGGCCACUACUUUACAAAGUUUACUACAGCAGCAAGGACGCUAUGCUUUGAUUAGUUGAGCCGUCCUCUGUUAUUUCGUUCAUGGGCAGAGUGGGUGGAGGUGCAGCGCCUCAGCAUGUCAAGGUAUAGGGAUGGAACCUGAUCCUUAUUUCACAGUAUGUUUCUGUUCUUACGAUAAGUGACUCAUGUUUCUUCUGUUUAAUGCCAGGAUAAAGUUUGAUUUUCUCUGUACUACUCCAACUUGGUCCUAUCUCUAACUACAGAAAUUUUAUGUAUCGUUUUAAUUUAGAUUUAUUAUUAUUAGAAUUAGAUGGUGUGCAUUGAAUAUGAAAAUAGGGCCAAGUACUGCUUUGGCGUAUAUCCUAUUGAGUUUUCAUGGGACCUUGAAGCUCACGGUUGAUCUCUUUGUAGCUUAUAAAAGUUAGUUAUAUCAUUUUACUGGAUGUAUAAUCAGAAAGGUGGGCCAACAAACUGUAAUAUGUGACAUAAAAUAUGAUAAUGCAGGCUUCCUUUAUUUUCUUCCAUGGGCAGAGUGGGUGGAGGUACACAGCCUCAAGAUGUCAAGGAAUCUGAUCCUUAUUUGACAGUGAACUUAGAAGGGUUUUCCAUCUUAUAAUAUGAUAAUGCAGGCUUCCUUACCUUGACCAGAAUUUAGCAUUUUGGUAUUGCCUCCUUACCAUGCAAUGUAGGCUUCAGCACCACUUUUUAAAUAUAAGCCAUCAUUUGUGCUGGUCCUUAUCAAGCAGUUCCUUAUCAAAGGGGAUUUUGAUGUUCUCGCUGAAACAGAGGACUUGAAUUGAUGAUUUCUAGGAUUAGUAAACAUUAGCACAAUCCUGAUUAUCCAGUUGAGAAAUCUUAUAUUUUAAUUGCGAAAAGUAAUGUAGGCUGCAAGAGUUGUCUUUUAAGUAAUGCAAAUUCUUCUGUCAGUAGCUAAUGCUGUUUAGAAAUUUUGAUUUCCCAUUUUUUUGUAGCUCUCUUCAUUUUUGUCACUGGUUUACAUUUGUUUUAUAUCUUUCUCAUUCUGUUCAUAGCAUUUUGUCAUGUUUCUUCCUUUCUACAGAGCUAUUUUGAUGUGUCAAGAAUUUUGGCUAAUUGAUGGCUCAAAUGAUUGCAAGCAUAUGAUCUUGUCGGCUUGAGUGAUUGCAGGCAUAUCGACUACAGGAAAACGUAGCACAGAAGAUUCUUCCUUCCCUUUUUUGUUUUGGUGAAAUUGCAGUCAAGCUACUUACAUACGACUCUUAUCAGGGCAUUCGAGAAUUCUCAAAUUGGGUCUGCUUCUGUUUUAGCCUGAUUUAUGUUUCUACUGUAGGUGUUGCUCUAUGGCAGUACAUACUUUUUGCACUAUUGAAGAGAUAAGAACAGCGUGCUACCUAUUUAUGCUUUUAGUAUGGCUUGAUAGACCGAGGACCUAUUGUGGAACUGAUAUUGUUUUUUAAAUGUUGGAACAAAUGAUGGUUUGAUCUGUGUAUUUCUCAACAGGUGGAGAUCGAAUUUAAUAAUAUUGACAUGCCCCGGUGCUUUUUGUUA